rnacentral:rRNA from 1 species
UGCUAUACUGCAGUCGUACGCUUCUUUUUCCACCGGAGCUUGCUCCACCGGAAAAAGAAGAGUGGCGAACGGGUGAGUAACACGUGGGUAACCUGCCCAUCAGAAGGGGAUAACACUUGGAAACAGGUGCUAAUACCGUAUAACAAUCGAAACCGCAUGGUUUUGAUUUGAAAGGCGCUUUCGGGUGUCGCUGAUGGAUGGACCCGCGGUGCAUUAGCUAGUUGGUGAGGUAACGGCUCACCAAGGCCACGAUGCAUAGCCGACCUGAGAGGGUGAUCGGCCACAUUGGGACUGAGACACGGCCCAAACUCCUACGGGAGGCAGCAGUAGGGAAUCUUCGGCAAUGGACGAAAGUCUGACCGAGCAACGCCGCGUGAGUGAAGAAGGUUUUCGGAUCGUAAAACUCUGUUGUUAGAGAAGAACAAGGAUGAGAGUAACUGUUCAUCCCUUGACGGUAUCUAACCAGAAAGCCACGGCUAACUACGUGCCAGCAGCCGCGGUAAUACGUAGGUGGCAAGCGUUGUCCGGAUUUAUUGGGCGUAAAGCGAGCGCAGGCGGUUUCUUAAGUCUGAUGUGAAAGCCCCCGGCUCAACCGGGGAGGGUCAUUGGAAACUGGGAGACUUGAGUGCAGAAGAGGAGAGUGGAAUUCCAUGUGUAGCGGUGAAAUGCGUAGAUAUAUGGAGGAACACCAGUGGCGAAGGCGGCUCUCUGGUCUGUAACUGACGCUGAGGCUCGAAAGCGUGGGGAGCAAACAGGAUUAGAUACCCUGGUAGUCCACGCCGUAAACGAUGAGUGCUAAGUGUUGGAGGGUUUCCGCCCUUCAGUGCUGCAGCUAACGCAUUAAGCACUCCGCCUGGGG